GGUGGAAUAGAAGAAUUUGAAUUGAGGAUUAGAGGUCUCUAAUUGGUCUGUAAUACAGAAAAAGCAUAUCUACGUGAGAAACCAAAAACCAAAUAACUCAAAUUUGAUGAAUCAGAAGACUAUGAAGCUGCCAUUUUUUGCUCUGCUCGAACUCAGAACUUUAGGGUCGAAGGUGAGGGAUGCUUACAAAAUGACUGUGAGAUGAAUGAUGAGUUGAAAUUGCAGAAAUUCUACAAUUUGUAAUUUUUUAGUAAUGAGAUGCUUCCAAUUGAUGGUAUUCUGCAGCUGGGAUUCUGUGCCCUAACAAUAAUUGAUUUCGGAAUCCAUGCUCUUCCUCAUACUCUUGCCAAUCUGGAAUUCUUACCUGUUAUGCCCUAAUUGCAGUGUCAUUCCAGUUGGACAUUCAGUUUUGGACUGGUAUUGUUUUCCCUCUCUCAAUUCUCUUUCUCUCUCAUUUUCUAACCCUAGCUAAUUCUGCCAUUUAUGGAGUUGUACUAUUUCCCUAUCAUUCCAAGGCAUUGCAAUCUGAAUUUCGCACCCAAACACAUUUGUGAUUUCAGCUCUCCAGAUCGUAUGGAUUUUGUGCAAAACACAAAAUGCAGUUUGAGAUAUUGAGCAUUUUACUUAGCAAUUGGUACAACAAGAGCCUUAAUACUGCUCAUAGAAGAGCCCUAAAAUGCUUCUUUUUUUUUUUUGGAGGAAGUUUGGCUAAGUUCAUAACCUGGUUAAAUUGGCUUUAUUUUGACAAAGAGUUUUAUUAUUUUAUCCUUUUUUUAAUUCUCCGAAAAUCUUUACUAAAACAAAACGCCUUAAAAGUUACAGGAUUGUUUCUUAGAGAGAUAUUUGUGCCAUUGGAGUACUGAAUGCCACUCAUUUUUUUUUGAAUUAUUGUAUAUGAAUUUUAGUGGUCCAUAAACAACUAGCAAAAGAAGACUUUGGUGCAAAGGAAGAAGACAAAUUUGAGAAGGAGCAAACGCAACAAUGGCCGACCCUGUAAUUGGUGCUACUGUUCAGGUUGUGCUUGAGAAACUGCUUUCUCUCACCAUUGAGGAGGCCAGAAGUUUAAGGAACUGCCAGAAAAAUCUCAGAAUGCUGACAAAAUAUGUAUCCAUCGAUGCACAGGCUGUGGAACAAUGGCUCAAGAUGCUUGAGAGAAUUGCUUAAGAUGCUGAAAAUAUGUUUGAUGAAUUCACAUAUGAAUCUCUCAAAGCACAAGUGAUGAACAUUUAAAACAGCCCAAUGAGAAAGGUCAGGGGUUUCUUUUCUCAUACUGCUUUUAAGAGCAAAAUGUCUCGAAAAAUAAAAAAACGUCAAUGAAGAAUUGACGUCUAUCAAUCAGUUAGCCAAAGACCUUGGUCUCCAAUCACUGAUAGUUCCGUCUCAGAAAAUAUUACCUAUUCGAGAAACAGAUUCCUUAGUGGUUGCUUCGGAUGCCGUUGGUAGAGAUAGCGAUGUUGCUGAAAUUAAGGAGAAGAUGUUGAACAUGAGAGAGGAAGUUGUUCUGUGCACCAUUCCCGUAGUGGGCAUGGGAGGUUUAGGGAAAACUACUAUAUUGCUAAGAGAAUUUUCAAUGAUGAAGAGAUAGAAAAACACUUUGAAAAGAGAGUUUGGAUGUGUCUACCUGAAAUGUCAGAGACUAAGAGCUUUCUUGAACAGAUCCUCGAAUCAUUGACAGAGAGGAAACUUGAGGUCUCUUGGUAUCACUUUUUUUCAGCCUCACAAGUAACAACUGGACUAUGCCAUCUUCUAAGUUGUUGGAUCAGGAGAGCAAGUCCCAGAAGAGAUGGCGGAGAACAAUUCCUUCGUGUAUUUGGUGGACAAUAUGGAAGAAAAGAAAAGGGAGGUGCUUUGAGGGCAGGUCUAACACUCUGCAAAAGAUUAAAUGGAAUUGCAUCGUAAAUUUUCAUUUUUGGUGUAAACUAGCAAAUGUAGAAGAUGAAGUUCAAUUGGUAGAUUUUUUUAGGCUAUUUAUAAUUAGCCUUAGUUAUGACUCUUUGUUGAUAACUUUUUGGAGGUCUCCAGCAUAUCCUUAAUGCUGAGGAAUACAAAUUACCAGUUUUCAAAAAAAUUGAUGAUAGGAGUGUUUAUUGCAUUCUCAUGAUUUUGAUUAAAUUCCACCUAGUUUCCCUCUUUCGUUUGUUGUAUCAAUGUCUGACCCUUCCCCUCUUCCAACCUGUACUAAAGAAGAAGAAACUCAGUAGUUAUAUCUAUUCAGGUUGUAUCGUCAAGAUAAUAAAUGGUAUACAUGGGAGGUGCCCUUUUUGAAUUCUGUUCAUGAGUUGCAGCUCAAAUAAAUUCUCACUGAUUAUUUUUAUGAAUUCAGCUAUGAGGUUGCUGUCGUACAAAGACAAAUUGGAUGUGCCACCUCACUCUCUUGCUAGCCCAGUAUUAAACUUGGGUCGAAGUAUGCUCAAGAACAAUUUUGAUGGUUUUAUUUUUCAGCUUCUUUUCUCAUGAAAAUGUUGUACUGUUUAACAGCGAUGCUAUUGUAUCAGUCUCCGCUGCGAAGGACCUAGGACUUGAAUGGAAAUGGAUUGACCAGUUUGAGGGGCAUCCAUCCAUUAGGUUGAAGGAUUCUCUAUUCUGCUUAUUGAACCAGAAUUUCCAUGUAAGCUUCUUCUAAAUUGUUUGCAUUGUUUUUGUUGCUCACUUCUCUGAGAUGUGUUUUUCAGUGUCAUGAUUGGCAACGGAAAUUGCAUCUCAUAAACUCGAUCGUUUGCAUUUAUGUUUUUAAUACAUAAAUGGUGAUAGUUCAGGUAGGACAAAAGAAACAACCAGAAGUUGGGGUGUGACGCUGGAGAAAAAGUAGUAGUUCAGCGGUGUUUUAAAUUUUUCAUAAGCAUCCCUUUUUUAUCUUUGGUGGUCCUAUUUUUGUUCACUAGCUUGAUGAAGGAUCUAAGGUGAUAGUUGGUGAAAAUGUAUUGUUCACUUGCUGUAAUAACAUGAUUUCUAAUCUCAGGGUGCUGGAACAUACAUGUUUCAAAUCGAUGAUGAGCAUGUUAUAGAUACCACAAGGGCUGGAAUCAUUGCACAUUUAAUCAACCGUUUUUGUGAAGUACAUAAAAUCUUUCUUUACCUAUUUCCCUUUUCCUUUGAUGGUUUUAUUCCUCUUGGGGUAAAUUAUUGUUUCCACACUAGCACCUGCAUAUUACAUGAACAAAGAUUCAGCGAGCUGUCAUUUGUUAUGUGCCUGAAAACAGAAUUGUGGAACUGGUCUUGUUGUUUGGAAUGGAAACUCGUGAUAUCUACGAGGACUGAGGAACUUAAUUUCUUAAGCAUUAUUCAAAAUCAUAAUGGAAAGUUUGCUGAACUUUUUAGUAAUUUGGUAAUGUUUUCCUUUGUUGGUUCUAAACUGCAUUUUUUUCAACAAACAACUUCACUAUGUUAAUGCAUAAUAGGUCUCAAAGAGUUAAAAUAUGCAACAAUAUAGAUUAGGAGGUAAUCAGUUUAACUCUUUGAGAUUAACCCUCAUACUAUAAUUCUAUUCGGAGUGUUAGUAAUAGGAAUGGGAAUAGAUUAAAUAGCUAAACGGUUCUAACUGCCCAAUAUAUGUCAACUACUAAUUGGAAAGGGGCUGCCAUUCAUUAGAAAAAAAAAAAAAAACACAACCACCACCCAAAAAAUAUUUAUUUAAAGAAUGAUUAGUUGUUAAUCCACAAAAGCUAUUCUUUAUUCAAAUUAUUGUGUAUGAAUUGUUCUCUUUCUUUUAGUGGUGGCCAAACAACUAGCAAAAGAAGAUUUCUGCAAGAACUUUGAGAAGACUUUGGUGUAGAAGAAGAAGAAGAAGACUUUGUGAAGGAGCAUCACAACAAUGGCCGAUCCUGUAAUUGGUGCUACAGUUCAAGUUGUGCUUGAGAAGCUGCUUUCUCUCACUUUUGAGGAGGCUAAAAGUUUAAGGAACUGCAAGAAAAAUCUCAGAAUGCUGACAAAAUAUGUAUCCAUGAUCCAAGCUUUCAUUCAUGAUGCUGAAAGACGACAAGUUGACGAUCAGGCUGCGGAAGAAUGGCUCAAGAUGCUUGAGAGAGUUGCUGAGGAUGCUGAAAACGUGUUUGACGUAUACAGAUAUGAAUCUCUCAAAGCACAUGUGAUGAACAUUCGAACCAAACUAAUGGAAAAGGUCCGUAACUUUUAUUCUCAUACUGCUUUUAAGUACAAAAUGUCUCGAAAAAUCAACAAUAUCACGAAAGAGAUGAGGGCUAUCAAUCAGUUAGCCAACGACCUCGGUCUCCAAUCACCGAUGGUUCCUUCUCAGCAAAUACUACCAAUUCGAGAAACAGAUUCCUUCGUAGUUGCUUCAGAUGUUGUUGGUAGAGACAACGAUGUUGCUGAAAUUAAGGAGAAGAUGUUGAACAUGAGAGAGGAAGUUAUUAUGUCCACCAUUCCUCUAGUUGGUAUGGGGGGUUUAGGUAAAACAACUGUGGCUAAGAGAAUUUUCAAUGAUGAACAAAUCAAGCAAAACUUUGAAAAGAGGGUUUGGUUGUGUCUAGCUGAAAUGUCAGAAACGAAGAGCUUUCUUGAACUAAUCCUCGAAUCAUUGACAGAGAGGAAACUUGAGGUCCAAAGCAGGGAUAUAAUAGUCAAGAAGCUUCGAGAUGAAUUGGGAGGAAAAAGGUAUUUGCUUGUCUUAGAUGAUUUGUGGCGUGUUGACCCUACAUUGUGGCAUGAGUUCAUGGACACUUUGAAGGGAAUAAACACGUCAAGAGGAAACUGCAUUCUUGUGACUACACGUAUGAAACGAGUGGCAUCCACAGUAGCAUUAGAUCAUCAUAUGUUGGAAAGAUUAGCGAGAGAUCAUUGUUGGUGCAUUUUCAAACAAAGAGCAUUUGUUGAUGGGGAGGUUCCAGAAGAAAUGGUGAGCAUGGAAAACAGGAUUGUUGAAUUGUGUCAAGGUCUACCAUUGGCUGCAAGUGUGUUGGGAGGCCUCUUACGAUAUAAGGAAAUACAUGAAUGGCAAGCAAUUCUUGAUGGCAACCCCCUUGUUACUGGUGAAGCUGAUAACGGGGAAAAUAGCUUAAAGAAAAUCUAUAAAGAAAAUCCUAAAACUCAGCUAUGAUUAUCUACCAUCUCCACAUCUGAAGAAAUGUUUUAGUUACUUUGCAAUGUUUCCAAAAGAUUUUGAGUUUGAGAAGGACCAACUAAUCCAACUCUGGAUGGCAGAAGGGUUUCUUCGUCCAUGUCAAGAGACCACUGUGAUGGAAGACGCCGGGAACAAGUUUUUCCAACUCUUGUUGCGAAAUUCCUUGCUGCAAGAUGUCAAGCUAGAUGAGCACAACAAUAUAACACACUGUAAGAUGCAUGAUCUUGUGCAUGAUUUGGCCAGAGAUAUAUUGAAAUCUAAAUUAUUUGAUCCAAAGAGAGUUGGAGGAGAAAAUCUUUCUCAAGUCCGAUACUUUGGAUGGGACUCACCAAGUGAUCAAAUAGAGAGGAUAAAUGAGCCAGGACGUUUGUGCACAUUGUUCUGGAAAAGAAAUCUAUCUGAAGAUAUGUUGUUGAGCUUUCAGUUCUUGAGAGUUUUAAAUUUGUCCAGGUCAGACAUCAAGGAGUUGUCAGCCUCAAUCAGCAAGCUAAUAUACUUAAGAUAUCUUGAUCUCUCCUACAAUAAGAUCAGAGCCUUACCCAGCUCCAUUUGCAAGCUCUACAAUUUGCAAACUUUUAGAGCCAAUAACUGUUUUUCACUCAGGAAGCUUCCAGUAGAAAUGGCAAAUAUGAUAAGUUUGAGACACAUAUAUUGCAAGUAUCAUUACCAAUCAUGUACAGGUAAGGAUCGGUUUCAGAUGCCACUUAAUAUGGGGCAAUUGACUAGUCUUCAGACGCUACAGUUUUUCUAUGUAGGUUUAAAGAAAGGUCGUCGAAUAGAAGAACUAGGUUGUUUGAAAAAACUUAGAGGUGAAUUGACGAUCGAACGUCUUCAAUUAGUCGGAAAUAAAGAAGAGGCUCGAACAACAUAUUUACAGGAGAAACCAAAUAUCUACAAGCUGGUGUAUUCAUGGUCCCGUGAUGAAUCAGAAGGCUGUGAGAUCAAUCAUGAGCAUGUGUUGGAUGGUCUUCAACCACAUCCGAACUUGAAAACCUUAGCAGUUGUGGACUAUUUAGGGACUAAAUUUCCUUCAUGGUUCAGUGAAGAAUUGCUACCAAAUUUGGUCAUGUUGAAAUUAAGUGGUUGCAAAAGGUGCAAAGAAAUUCCAUCACUUGGCCAACUGAAGUUCCUUCAGCAUCUUGAGCUGGUAGGAUUCCUUGAAUUGGAAUGCAUCGGACCUACAUUUUAUGGUGUUGAGAUAAUUGAUAAUGGAUCAAGCAGCAAUAAUGGCAAUAUCCAAGCGUUCCUGUCAUUGAAAGAACUAGUAUUGAAGAAUAUGGCUAGCCUUAUUGAGUGGAAGGGAGUUGAAGUUGGAGUAAGAAUGUUUCCUAGGCUUGAGAAGUUGAGGAUUAGUAACUGUCCCCUGUUAGAAAGUACUCCGAAUCAAUUUGAAAUCCUAUGUGAAUUAGAGAUUGUUGGAGUUGACAGUGAAAUGCCAUUGUUGAACUUGUGCAGCAACUUGACAUCUCUUGUGAAUCUUGUUGUUAGUAACGUGAAAGAGCUCAUUUUUCUUCCCGAUGAGAUGCUACGCAACAAUGUUUCUCUUCAACACCUAUUGGUCUCACUCUGCGGAGAGUUUCGUGAAUUGCCACAAAGCUUAUACAAUCUCCGUUCUCUUAAGAGCUUAGAAAUUACCAGCUGCACCAAUUUCAGUUCUUUUCCUGUUCCCAGUGGAGAGAGCUAUUUGACUUCCCUCCAAAGUCUUGAGUUAUCCAAUUGUAAUGGAUUGACCAGUUUACCAAGUGGAAUGCUAGAGCAAUGCCGGUCUCUAGAGAUUUUGACGGUCAGUUACUGUAACAACUUGGUUUCCUUGCCUUUACAUGUGUGGGAAAUGCCUUCACUUUCGUAUUUGUGUUUAUCAGAAUGUCCCAAAUUGGUUAGUGUACCCGCAGGGGGACUUCACCACCUCACUGGGUUACAGCAUUUGGAAAUUGGUCCUUUCUCAGAGACGGUGAAUUUUGAGGCAUUCCAAUUGAUUUUUAAUGGCAUUCAGCAGCUAUCUUCCCUUCGUACAUUGGAGGUAUACGGACGUACGGAUUGGGAUUCUCUGCCCGAUCAGCUUAUGCAACUCUCUGCCCUAACGGAGAUCGGAAUAAAUGAUUUCGGAAUCGAGGCUCUUCCUCAUAGACUUGGCAACCUUACUUCUCUUGUAACAUUAGAUCUGGUGAGAUGCAAACGGCUACAACAUGUGGACUUCUCAGAUGCCAUGCCCAAGUUACGGUAUCUGGAGAUCCGUGAUUGUCCAUUGUUAGAAGCUCUGUCGGAUGGGCUCGGCAACCUUGUUUCUUUGGAAGAGAUAAGUUUAUGUAACUGUGAAAAAUGGAGCAUCUGCCAUCCAGAGAUGCCAUGCAACUCCUCACUAAAUUAUGGAACCUGCGAAUUAGUGUCUGCCCACAGUUAGAAGAAAGUUGCACCAAUCGGAGUGGCUCGAACUCCCAGUGGUCCAACAUUUCCCAUAUUCCCAUAAUUGACCUAGGUGGGACAAUAGUUCAGAACUUAAGUAAGUCUCUAUUUCUCUUUCACUUUCUGAGUAAAUUUUUUAAACAUUAUUUUGCACGAGUUCCUGCAAAGAAGUUCUGUAUGUAAUAUAAUACUUUUUCUUGCAAUUAUUUUGACAUUAAAAAAUGCAAAAUUUAUCAAUCAAUUGCAUAUGUGCUAUGCUUUCAGCAUUUUGCUUGUCCACUUGAACCGAAUUGUUCUUCUUCUAAUUCUUCGAGUAUGGUAUAUCUUGAUAUGUUUUAAUCAUGAAUUUUAUGUUUUUUUCCUUAUAGGUUACUAGUUCCAAUGUCAUGCUAGAAACGUUGCUGUGGUGAUUCAAGCCAAAUCCCAUGAGCGGCAAGCAAUAAUGUGAGGUAAAUUUUCAUUUACAAUUUAUAGGCACUUCGUAAUCUACUAGUUUAUGAAUAGAUGACACACUUAUCUCUACUUUCACUUCACAGGACAAUUUCUCUGUUCAUUAAAACUUUCGUGAAUGAAGGACACUACUAGUUUAAUUCAGUUUCUUGGAGCUAGUCCUCAUUGCACACUCCUACAGGUUGUUGGUUAUGGUUGUGAAAAUCCAUAACCAACAACUAGUUACGCGGAAUCACUAGCUUUGCAUCUAGCUAUAAAUGUAAUAUAAUAGUAGUAAUCUGAAUCUAGCUUUGCAUGUACAGUUCUAUGAUAAUAUAUACUCUAUGUUAUUUCAGAUUUCAGUUAAUUGCUCCUAAUUAGCAAAACUAGAAGAUCCAUUUAAGUUAAGUGAUCACACUUCACACAUGUCAAUUUUAAUUGUUAAUUUUCUAACUUUUCCUUAUCCUUGUAAAUAUGCUACUUGAUUGCUUAUUUCCAAAUAUUUUUAAAAGCCUACAGAUGCCAUAGAUCGCAACACGAGUAGAUUCUAGAGAGGAUAAAGAUAUCAGCAUAUGUGAGAUAUUAAGUGUCUUAAUUCCUGACAGCUUAGAUAAAAUCAGUGAUACAUCAUUCAAUGAAUUUGUGGUUCAUAGAGUCGUCAACUGGUAUAUGACAACAGUAUUGUGCUUGUUUUUCUUUUGCACAGGAGAAAAUUGAAGAAAUUUGUCGUCAAAGGCCAGAAAGUAUUGUCGAAGUUUCACCAAAUAAUGUACUUGGUAUAGUACUCGGUCCCGAACACCUGAGCCGUGUUCGAGGGUUAGGCUUGGGUGUUGUUCCAAUUAUGGCAUUCAAACAGACAUCUAGGAGAUUUAAGCAUGUUGAUGUGAGUUCAUCUAGCGCUAGCGCUCCACCUCCAAAGUAGCAGCAAUAGAUGACGAGUAUGAAAUCACAAUUGAAUGCGCUACUUAGCUUAUAUCAAAAGAACAUAGGGAAUGUCCCCUCACUUAUUUCCACCUCCUCCACAGGUAUGACCAUCAUAAAUAUCUAUGUUUUAUAUGUACUCUUUCUUAAGAAUAUAUCUAAGAGUCUAACUCUAUCUUUAUGUACUCUUUAAGUUCUGUUUGGGCUAUGAUUAUUUUUAUUUUGCUAGGAAUUUAUUUAUGUUUUGUAGUGUACUCUUAAUAAAGUCCAAUUUGCUUUGCAGUGCCUCUUUUUGAGGUUUAGAUAAUUUUUUAAAGUCAAUAUUAACUUUGUUGGCAGUAAGCAGCAUUGCUUAUGCUUAUCUGUAGGCUGUGAUGAUAUAGAGCUUAUUGAGUUAAUUGGAUUUUGGUCAGCCCGAACCGAAUCUUGGUAGGGAAAACUAAAUUGUGUUGUAAGUGGUGUGACGAGUAUUGGGACGAAAUAGGUCCUAAUUGAGUGGAAGGGAUGUUAAGGAUUCAUUUAGUUUAUCCAACUAUAGAUUGUUGUUGUUGAUGUUGUAUUCUAUUCUGGUUUGCAGCUAUGGUUCAUUACCCGAUUUUGUGACAUAUCUGAGCCUAGUUGAUUACUCAACUGAGAAUAAUUCGUUGAGAAUAUGAAUUACGCAGCAUUUUGAUGGGCAGUUUCUAGCAAUAAUUUGUAUUGAGGCAUAGUAGUUGUAUGCUAUCAUGGUUUCCACUUUCCAGCCAUGGUGGCAUUCCUUCCUUACUCACCGGUAAAUAGUCGUGUCUAGGCUGCCAUGAUAAUUAGUUACUUGACCGAUGAAUAGAACCAAGUAACUUAUGUUUUAUAUGUACUCUUAUGUUAAUAUUGACUUAAAAGAAUUCAAUUUUAAAGAAAGUUUUUGGAAAUUUCUUUCUGGAAUAAUUGGUGAUUACAAAAAUGGUAUUUGAAAAUCUUUUCGGUAUGUAGGUGAGAAGUGUACUUAUUACAAGAGAAAUUUUUUCCAGAAAUGUUUUCCAAGUUCAUUGAUAUUUCUGUGCGAAUACAUAUAUUUUUGGAGUAUGAUCAUCAAUUUGCUUGUUAAUUAAUAAAAAAAAAUUCCAGGCAUCCGAUACAGAAAGUGGGGCUCAUUAGUCACCCAUUGGACCAACCAUCGAUUAGAAAUCUUUGGAUGAUGGACUAAGCAUCAACUAGGAAUCAUUUUUAGGAUCUUUUUUUUCGGAUAUUCUAGUUGAAUGACACUUGAAAUUACUAUUUUGAUGAUGUAAUUUUGGAGCUUUGAUUAACACUUCAAAACAGUAGUAGUAUUUUGAUGAUGUAAUUCUGGAGUACUUUUGUUUAAUGUGAUGAAUAUUUUGCUCAUUUGAUCUUUUAUGUUGUUUUAAAAUUACUAACUGUAGAAAUUUAAAUAUAUAGGGUGCAAUAAAUAGGAUAUUAAGUAUGGAUUGACAAAAUUAGAAAAUAUAAUUAUUACGGCGUCAGAAUUGAACAUUACGACAUAUGUUAACCGUUAUAUAUGAAUGACACAAUUACGACGGGUGUAAACAAUCGCUUUAUCCAAAAAAAAAUUGUCGCAUUUUAAAAGGAAUAUUGCGAUGGUUUUAUAUAUGUAUAACGGCGGUUUUGUGUAAAUAUUACGACGGUUUCGUAACAACUGCCAUAAUACGUUUGUGAUAGGUGGGAUUACAACAUUUUCACAAAACGCCGUUUUAGUACAUUGUGACGAUUUGAAACCGCCGCAUUACGUAUAAAUAACCGUCGCAAUAACCCUGUUUUUUUUGUAGUGACUGUGAUUAAUCAUUAAAGGUCGCAGACAUGAAUAAGAUUUGCUGGUAUGGAAAAUGCAGUCAAAGAAAUGAAAUUUUUACGCCUGUUAGAUUUAAGAAGUAUUACUUAUUAGUCUUUUCCACUAUACCACAAAAAAAGAGGGGUUACUUACUAAUAUGUACAGGUAAUAAAAAUUAUUUUCAAUAAAAUGGGCAUCUAUAUCAAUAUUGUAUAAAUAUUAUUCAACAAAAUGGGCAUAUAUAAUCGUGUAUAAUAUGUACGGGCAACAAAAAUUCUUUUUCUUCUACAUUUCCCCCCUUCCUUUCAUCUAGAAUUUUCAUCUAAAAUAAAUAAAAGUCUCAAAAGUCCCUAAUAAUUUCAUCCCCCAACAAACAUAGCUAUACUUUAAAUUUUACAACAAUAACUAAAAUGUAAUUCUAAAAUCCUAUCUUCAUUUUCUCUUUCACUUCCCUUGUUGGCAAUUUCCCUUCGCCCUUUUCCUCUUUCAUCUAUGGCUAAUAUAUAAAUAUGUUUUUUAAUUUGAUCUCAAGAUAUAUAUGUCUUUCAAUUUUUGAUGUGUACAAAUAGACACUUAAAUUUGUAUAAAGUUGAACAAGUAGAUACUCACAUUCUACUUGUCAUAAUAUAUGUAGGACAUCAUGUAGGAUACCGUGUAGGAUACAAAUUGUCACAUAAGGGAUCAAGUAGAAUGUGUAUGUCUACUUGUUCGAUUCUAUAUAAGUUUAAGUGGCUACUAAUACACACCCAAAAUUGAAAGACAUAUAUAUCAAAUGAGGCUAAAUACGUUUAUGUAUAAUGUUUUUUUUUUCUAUAGACUCUUCCCCUCUUUCAAGAUUUCUCAAUCUUAAUUUUCUAUGUAACCCACAAAUGUAUCAUACAGGACCUACCUUCAUUAAUUAAUACCAAAAAAAGGACAGGGAACAACUAUCAUUUAAUUUGAAAAAAAAUCAUUUAAUAAUGCAAGUCAUCCACUACACUUUCCAAGGGCAUGAUAGAGAGGCUUGAGAAGGUAGACAAUCCCUCAAUAAAUAUUUAACAAGAUGUGGAAUUCAAACACACUUAAAAUUCAUAAGAAUCGUACAAACAUUUGUGGAGCAUAGCAAAAAAAUUUGAUUUCAGCUCUCGUCAUCUCAUUCAAUGCUACAACAAAAACUCGACUUGAGGUACUGCAAACAAAGAAAGAAGCAUUUCAUAUCAUCAAAACAAAAUUUCAUGAGUCCACAAGAAAUUCUUGUUCAAAAUCACAUGCUAGAUUGAUACUGUCACUUUUCUAUUUGAGUAAGGAAUGAAUAUUGUUUCAGGUUAAAUAUCAUUGAUGAAACGUCAUUAGGUGAAUCCACACUACAUUUAUUUUCUCUAAAUCUUCUUUAUGGGUAAACAUAAAUAUAUUUUCUACGAUUUUACAUUGGUAAUUUUGAGUUAUAUCUAAGAAUUUAGUUAUUUUCGAAGUUAUAAUUGUUUCUAAAAGUCUAGUGAUUUUCAAAAUUGUAAUUAAAUUGUAUUUGAAGUUUAUCUAGCUUAUAUCUAGGAUCAAAAUCUAAAUUUAUGACGAUACAAUAUACAUACAUGGUGUACAUAUUCAAAAAUAAUAAUUAAAAAUGCAAUAAUACAAAGUGACAAGCCCUAAAUUAAUGUAUCCAACAACAUUGAGAAAGUGUCGAUACAUAUAGAUACUAAAUUAAGCAAACAAAUAUAUCAAAAUUGAUCGAUCAGAUCGAACGAAAACAAUAGAACAAAUUCAACGAAUUUAAACAACAAAUACAACUCAAAAACAGUCCCUAUAAAUUAUAAUUAGACAAAAUAUAGCUACUAAUAUAAUAAUUAUAAUCCAACCUAUACCUAAUAAUGAAAUUUCAUCAUAUUUACAUGGUUUAAUUUGGCCACUCCUUAGUCCUUACCCUUUAAUUAUAUAAUCUACAUUUUCUUAGAACUUUCGAGUUCAAUCAUUUCUGUUGCUCCUCAUGUUCCAUGUGAUUAGCAAUUAAUUUGUCUGGUUCUGCGGUUGGCUAGACAUCCUUUACGCCCACGGUUCCAUUUCAUAUUAGUUGAUUAUAUUAAAAAUAGUUAUCACAUAUUUCCUUCGUUCAAUUUUACUUGUUCAUUAUACUAAAAAUAGUUAUUCAAUAAUAUUUUUUUAGUUUGAAAAACUAAUAAAUAAAUUACCAUUUUGAGUCUAUUUUACUCUUGCGAGAAAAUGACAUAAAUAGUCUCUUAAUUAUAGGAGUAGGUCUAAAAUGGUCCCUUAACUAUACACUUAAUGGAUUUAGUCUUUUAACUGUUCAAAAGCUUAUCAACUUUGGUCCCUUAACUAUACACUUAACGAUUUUAGUCCAUUAACUAUAAACUUACCGAUUUUAGUCCUUUAAGUAUUCAAAAACUUAUCAAGGUCUUUGUCUUUUUUUUAAUACAAAUAGCUAAGGUUUAUAUUUACGAAAAUUUUCGUGAAAUUAAAUAUUUAACCCAUUUUUUAAGUUGUUUCUCUAUCCCUGCCAGUUUUUCUUCAAACUACUCUUAUAAAAAGAACAAUAAUGUCAACGAUUCAAAAUAAAAUUAAUGAGGAAAGAAGAUAUAAGUCGUAAUUUUAUUCAAUGGAGGAUAAAAUUAAGCAUAUAUGACUUGAAUCUGCACUUGAAUAUGCUAAUCAGUGCGGAUUUUAUUUAAUAUACUCAAAUUUCUUUACGUAAAAUAAAAUGAAUAGAAUAAUAAAAUUGAUCUAUUUAAAAAAAAAUAAACAAACUCCGUUCAAUGAAGUCGUUGGAGUACAAACUUUGGAUUUAACAGGUAAUAAUCUUUUUCUUUUUAUAAUAUAGUUUAACAUAUUCAAGUCAUUAGUAGCAAUAAUAUGCUUCAUUUUUAUCCUCUGUUGAAUAAAAUUAUGACUUAUAUUUACUUUCCUCGUGAAUUUUAUUUUAAAUCGUUGAGGUUAAGGUUCUUCGCAUAAGGUUAAUUUGAAGAAAAAGUAGCAAAGAGAGAGAAACAACAGAAAAAGUUGCUAAAUAAUUUAAUUUCUCAAAAUAUAGAUCCCGUUAAUACAAACUUAAGUUAUUUGUAUUAAAAAUAGACAAAAACCAAACGUAAUAAGUUUUUGAAUAUUUAAAGGACUAAAAUCGGAAAGUUUAUAGUUAAGGACUAAAACCGGUAAGUGUAUAGUUAAGGGACCAAAGCUGAUAAGUUUUUGAAUAGUUAAAAGAUUAAAUUUGUUAAGUGUAUAGUUAAGGACCAUUUUAGACAUACUCAUAUAGUUAAGGGAUUAUUUAUGUCAUUCUCUCUUACUCUUGCUAUUAAAUAUUAUUCAAUAUCUAAUACAUUUUUCAAAGCAUUAAAUUUAACAUAUUUAUCAAGUCAAUAGAGUACAAGUAUGGUUGGACAGAGAGAUUAUUAAUUGUCAAUCUUACUAAAUUAAAAAAAAUAUUAAUUAAAUUUUUUUAUGUUAACCUUGCAAUUAAUUUUUUUUUUAAAGUGUCUAUUUACAAAAUUCUCAAAAAAAAAAUUUAAGACGUGAAUUAUUCUUAGAUAUUGUAGCAAAUGAAAAGUGAUUGAGUAAUAUGGAUCGGAUGGCGUACUUCUUUUUUUUUGUUCAACCAAUAACGUGGUUAAUUUGAAUACGAUUGCCUAUUCUCCGCCUACCCUCUACUUUUUUAACAACAAAAUAUCAAAAGCUUUAAACAUUGACCAAUCACCCAUUCGAAUCUUCUAUCUUCUGCGUAGAAGCUACGAUUUGGUUCUUGAUUUUUCUCAUCAUCGAGCAAUUUCAUUGCUUUGAUGCAAAAACAAGAGGCAUUUCCGGAGGGAUUUGGUGCUGUUUUGGUCUCUGGGUUUAGUUAUGCCAGAGAUCUUACGUGAGGAGAGCAGUUCAUCUUCACCAACCACCGCCGGCACCAUCAUCGGCGCCGGAGAUUUCAAGCUUAACCUAUUCGGGAAAUACGAGGUCGGGAAGCUUCUGGGUUGUGGUGCUUUUGCAAAGGUUUAUCAUGCUAGGGAUGUGAGGACGAGACAGAGCGUGGCGAUUAAGACGGUAAGCAAGCAGAAGAUAUUGAAAGGUGGUUUCAUGGAGCAUGUUAAGAGGGAGAUUUCUAUCAUGCGCAGGUUGCGUCAUCCUCAUAUCGUGCGCCUUCAUGAGGUGCUCGCGACGAAGACGAAGAUCUAUUACGUUAUGGAAUUCGCUAAAGGUGGAGAGCUGUUUACGAAAGUUAGCAAAGGGAGAUUCAGCGAGGAUCUCAGCCGGAGAUAUUUUCAGCAGUUGAUCUCCGCCGUUGAUUAUUGUCAUUCUCGUGGUGUGUAUCAUCGAGAUCUGAAACUGGAGAAUCUGUUGCUUGAUGAAAAUUGGGAUCUCAAGGUCACCGAUUUCGGUUUAAGCGCAGUGACGGAUCAGAUCCGACCCGACGGACUCCUCCAUACGCUCUGCGGCACUCCGGCAUAUGUAGCUCCUGAAAUUCUCGAGAAGAAAGGAUACAACGGAGCUAAGGUGGAUAUAUGGUCAUGCGGCAUCAUCCUUUUUGUGCUCAACGCCGGUUAUUUACCCUUCACCGAUGCAAAUCUAAUGGCGAUGUAUCGGAAAAUCUACAAAGGCGAAUUCCGUUGCCCUAAAUGGACCUCACACGGAUUGAAACUGUUGCUAACCCGACUCCUCGACACGAAUCCCGAGACUCGAAUCUCCAUUGAACAAAUCAGAAACGAUCCGUGGUUUCGGAAAGGUUACAAAGAGGUGAAAUCGCAUUUCGGUGAUGAAUUUGAGUUGAAAAAUAGCUCCGAUGUAAAUCGCGACGGCAAAUUUCUAAAUGCGUUUCAUAUAAUCUCGUUAUCCUCAGGUGUUAAUCUAUCUGGAUUGUUGAAAUCUCUAGGAGGGAAAGAGACAGUGGAUGUUGAAAGGUUUGUUUCAGCAUCGUCACCGGAGAGAAUAACACAGAUGAUUGAAGAGGUGGCGAAGGCUGAAGGAAUGAGAGUCACCGGAAAAAAUAGCGCCGGCGUGAGAGUUGAGGGGCAAAAUGGGAAAUUUGUUUUAGCAACGGAGAUUAACCGGUUAACGGAGAAAGUGGUGAUUGUAGAAGUUAAACGAAAGGAGAUAGGAGCUGGACCUGAUGGAGAAAUAUGGAAACUGAAAUUUAUGCCGCAGUUAAGUGAAUUCUUUUUGUGAAUUCUUUCGUGGUCCGAGUUGUUAUUACAGUGUUCUCUAUCGUAGAAUUAGAAUUCAGACUUCGUGCUACUCGUUAUUUCUAGAUAGCAUAGGAAAAAAGAGAUUUCGGAAGGGAGAUACUCUAGUUGUUGAAUAGCCCGACGAAUGUGAAUCGAGGUGAGUUGAUGUUCAAACUAAUUUCUGCACACGUGAUUGGUUAAAGAACUUACUACAUUUUUGCAAAUAGGAAUUCAAAUUAUCAUGUCAGGUUUGGGCAAAACCUGUUGAUAUUAUUAUUGCUAAGAGUUAGGAUAAUGUAUCAUAAUGUAUUGUAUUUGUGUACUCUCUGUAUACAUAAGAUACAGAGAGGGCAAAAUUACUGGGUUUUGUAUAUAUUUUUAUGACCCGGUAAUCUGAUUUUAUGAUUAUCUCAUUUUUCAUAGUAAAAUGAUUAUUGAGAUAGCUUAUUUUAAUUUUCCUAAUUGUUUGGUUUUGUAUGACAGUUGGGAUAGUUAUUGUGUGAUUAGAGAAGCAUAAUAAAUCGAUAUGAAUAUUAUGAAUUGUCUCGUAUAAAAUGAUUUAUUAUUGAUACCUUCUCCUCAGUUCUUUCCUCCGUAAUGGAGAAGGAAAAGGUAAGUGUGUCUUAUAGAGAAUGUGGUUAGAAAUUUAUAAUAAAGUCCAACUACAAAUAUUGGGUUUCCAAAUUAGCGUAGAAAGAAAUGUUUUGUAUACCCUUGUCCGAGGUGUCAAAAAAGGUCAAAAAAUUACAAUGUAUAUAAAGAUCAAAUUUUGAUUUAAUAAAUAUAUAUACAAGUAUUAACAUUUCUAGACACAAGUUGAAGAUUAGUCUAGUGGUUAAAGGUUGCGAAAAUUUCUUCAAGUUCUAGCUUUGCUUAAUGAAAAUCAUCCCUCCGCUGCUAUAUCAUUGUAUGUCUAGCCUCAUAAUUAUUAUUUUUAUUACAACCAUUGACAACCCUUAAUGAAAAUCCAACCUUUCUAAAAAAGUUGAGGUAUUUCAAAUUAUUUUGUGAAUACAAACAAAAUGAAAUUAUUUCAAUUUAAUCGUUUGACGUAACCAAAAUUGAGUUUAAAUUUAAAAGACAUUUCUGGAUUUUUCAAAUCAAGGAAGAGUGGAAUUUAGAAAGGAUUAAUUUGCAACUUUCAUGCAACUAUACAAGGGGAUUUAAUGAAAUUUUGUCAAGUAAAACUGAAUUAUUUUAGUGUGUGACAAUCUAUUUUGAUUAUAUGUGCUGUAGGCAACCUGCAAUACGAAUUGAGGACGGGUUAUUAAAUCCCCCUCGCAAAAUCACAGCCCUUAAUAUAUUCAUACGAAAAAUAAUUUUUGACCUAUAUACUACAUAACGAACACCUGCGCAAUCAUAAGCUUUCAUAGAAAUUAAGAACGUAGUCGUAAGUUUUAUUAAGUUGAGCUUCUUCCAUGAAAUAUCAUUGUAUAUAAACAAGUGAUAAAGUUUGCACUUCAAGUAAAACACAUUAUACACAAACUGAAAGAUGGUAAUCCAAUUGUUAACAUACAAAGCAUACCAAGCUGGGCUCAAUAACCUGUAUUCACUUAAGAGGCAGAAUGCAAUGAAGUUUGCAUCUCUGGCAAUGCUUCCUCUUUAUCAACAGCAGGCUGACAGGCAUGCACAAUAGUACAUACAUCAUUUUUCUCCAGAAAAUGUUCCGCGUUAAUGAGGAUCACUGGUGCAUAUUCAAAGACCAUUUUCUUGCACUGCAGAAAAUCGUGAGGCAGAAACAUCAGUACAGCUACCAAACAGCCUUGAUCCUUCCACAUAUUACAGAAGUAUUGAAAGUAAUAUAAUAAUAACCUAGCAAUUACUCAUCGAAAUAAUCAUUUUCAGAGAGAAAUCAACGCUUGUAAUCAAGUGUAAAAUGGAUCACUAGAAAAUUUUUGCAAUCUAGCUCCUUAAUGAGGAAGAAACAUUUAUUGUCGUUCAAGCAUUUCAUUUCUUUCGACAGUUCAGUGUGGUGACACGUGGGAUUGGAGAAGUUUUUUAAGGACGCCAAAGGUCCAAACCAAGUACCAAUAGUUGUUUAGAACUAAAACAAAAGAGUUACCCGAGACGGAAUUAGGUAAGUAUGAGCAAGCACUAAGGUACAGCUAUGAUGGUAAGAUUAGUUUCAGAGGGUAUUUACCUUAUUGGCAUAUUUUUCAACAGAUCCACAUGCCUUCAAGAGAAUUGCAAGUAUGUCUAACUGAAAGUAGACAAGAAGCAAAUGAGUUUAGUGAAUAUAUUCUGUCGCAAUAAGAACUACAUACUGUCACUUACCAAAUUAAAUAAGGUAAAAAUAAACUAUUUACUGUCUCCAUACACAUCUAUGGGUUAAUGACAUUUUUUCAUAAGGAGUAUAAACGAAAUAAAAUAUCCGACCAGCCAGAUCCUAACCAGUAAAUUUUAUGAUAUUUUUAGGUAUAACAAGUUAUUUAGUCAUUUUAGUUACUAACGGUACUCAAUAAUUUAUCUCCAGGGUAUCACACCCAAGGGCAUAAUCUGGUGAUUAAAGAGGUGGAACGAAAACCAUGAGAAUCGGGAUUCGAAUCCUAGUAGACGCAAAAUCCAUUAGGAGAUCUCAUUCUAUCUACCUAAGUUUUUGUGGGCUGAGUUAAUCGGUACCUGUGCUAUUAAGAGGAAGUAGGUACCUGAUGGGCUAGUCGAGGUGCGUGCAACUUAACCUACAGUCCAAAACACCACCACAAUACAGAUAGACACACAAGCACUCACACAUAUCUAUAAUCUAUUAUAUAUAAAUAUAUAUGUAUCCUAUAUGAAUAACUUGCAACUAAAAAAAAGGCCGAACAUUUUUCACGCAUCCACAAAGUUGAGAAAGUAGGAUUUUUUUAAAUGUUGUUAAAUACAAGUAGAAAGACAUGUGUACCUUAUCAACAAACAUGUACAUAAUUAGUAAUAUUAUGUAGCUUCCUACACAUUAUGAAGUAUUCUAAACGAGGUAUCAUUAUCUGCAACACAUUUGCAAAAAAAUUUCAAGUUCAUGCUAACACACCCAUGUUGGUUGUCUUUUCAAGAUACAACAUUAGUGGUACACAUUUGAAAUUUAAAUUGACAUUUUCUUAUGGAGUUUUAGAGAAUCAGAUUAACCACCUAGCCUUUGCAAUAAGGCAGACUUUUUAAGUAAUUGUAAGUGGACCCUAACCCUAAAACAUGGUUCCUUUAUUCUUUUUCUCUAUAGUUCGGCAUAAAAUGUAUAUAACGAAAGACAAGAGUACCUGAGUGUCAGGAUCUUUCAGUUUUGAUAGUGCCUCUUCAACCACUUGAUGACAUACGUCACAGCCAUUUGGGGAGAACUGUUGAGAGAUGGAAACCACUUUCCGACAAAGGUCAACCUUUUGGCAAAUGUCAUCAGGUUUUAUAGUGGAGAUCUCUGAGAAGAAGAGAUGAGCAUAUUGAUCCACCAUGGCAGUGCACUACAAGAAAAUAAGAGAAGUUCACUUGCAAAUUAAUGUAGCAAGAGACAGAAAAAAUCAUAUCAAUGUUGUUGCAUGUAGAUCCUAAAGAUAUCAAGAUAUUGCUAUAGCUUUGCUUAAAGCACAUUUAACUUAAACCUUAAAGUUAGCGCAAUACAGGCUGAGCACUUCGCCUCACUUAUAAGGCGCCUUCCUACAGGUGCCAAAGUGUCAAGGCAUCACCUAAUUGCUAAUGAACUCUGAUACUAAACAUCAAAUAUAGACAGCAAAGUGAUGCAUUUAUCGCAAAUGUAUGCAUGUGUGUAAUUAGGAAUUAUUAACAAUUUAGUAGCACUCGCUCCAUUUUUUAUUUGUGCAUGAAGCACCACCGAAAACUGACAAGUUUUUAAUGCUUUUGCCUUUGAUAUUGCAAGCUAUUAUUAAUCUUUUCAUAAACAGUCACAUAAAGCCCCACAGAAAACAAUCUACCCCAGGCUCUAUGGAUAAGAUCAAAAGACACACUCCACUAGUUUAUCAUUUCUCUUCAUCCAAACAGGGGUAAUCUAGGUCAUUCUGGAUUUCAAAAGAAGCCAAAUUGUAUCCAAAAUAAAAUGGGAUACUUUAAGAAACAAUCUAUUUAAAAUCUGUAUGAUGAACUAUACUCGUAAAGAAAACAUAAAGGAACAUGGGAAGCAGGUUUCAGGUACAAAUCCUUGCAGAGAUAAAAAAUACUAGGCGAUUCCUUCCCAUUUGUCCUACCCUUGGUGGACAAAGUUACUUGGUACCUAUUGUUGAUGGGAGGCGGAAGAUAUCUCGUGAAACUAAUCAAGGUGCGCGAAAUCUGGCCCAAACACCACGGUUACCAAAAAAAUAAUGAGAAGCAGGCUCAGUGUGUGCUGUCUGUGACUUGCUUUUAACCCAUAAUCAGAGUGGGUCUCCAGUUUCUUUCUAUAUUGUAAACAAGAUAAUUGAUAUCAUAAAUAUUGAGUUAAAACAUUUAAGGAUGUCUCAAAUAGAAUAACCCUAUUGGAUGAAACAGAUAAGAAUAUUAAAAGAAGACUUCUGCUAUCUUCAUGAGUGUGCAUAACGCAUUACAUUUAGAAAAUCAUUUAGAUGGGCAUGCAGUAAGUUAAUCAUUUAGACAAAAAUAAUUUAAUGGUCACAAGAUGGGCAUUUAAGUCAAAUCACAAGUACCUCCUCCUUGUAUAUUGGCAUCUUCGAACACGUCAUGAGAAGUACUUCAAGUAUCUUUGCCUGGGUCUGCUUAUUAGAAAGGUAAUCAAGAGCAGUAGCAGUAUAUUCUUCACACAAUGUGCAUAAUCCUUUACUGUUGCUGACAUCUUUCAGAGGCUGAAGUUGUUUCUGUGCCUGUAGGUUACUUGUCCACAAUGCUAUUGCAAGAAAGCCAAGAUUAAUGUGUUUUCCAUAUUUAAGUUUUGAUUCAAGUACUCCUUAAUCAAUCAAGUGAAAAUAAAUGACUUCACAUAAAUAUAAGAUGAUAGCAUCUGCUACAGGAGAAUAUAGUUAAAACAUCAGUUAGGCUAGUAAGCAUGAGUAUAAGAAUUCGACCACAAAAGAGUAAUAGGAUGGAGAAAUCAGCGACAUGCCCAUCCAAAAAAAUCUUGAUCAUGGAGGAUAAACAGACAAUAAAUCCAUGUAGGAGUAGCUACUUGAAGAACUUGCAAGUAAGCAUCCUAUUCAAAAUUCAACAGGAUAACUUUUCACCCAAGGUUUCUCAAAUCAUCAAGAAUCCUUUAUUUAAAGAGAACAUACAUUGUCGGUGCCCCAUUUUUUUGGAGUAAACUGUUAUUAUGACCUAGACUACCACAAUCCAAUAAAAUGAAAAACUUGACCAUCCAAUUUUGUAUUUCCAGAGUUUAUUUUUCUAUAUAAUCAAACAGGACAUAUUUGACAAUAUAUCCACACACAAAAAGGGAACUUGAUGUUUAUAUCAUUAUAAGUCGUAUGAGGCAUCACAUUUUUCCAGUGAAUGUUUGCUAACCCAUCCUAAACAGAAGGAACAAACAAACCCAAUUGAGUUGAAAACAAAGAAGAACCAUGUGGCACAUAAAUAGAUGGUACUUCCUCAUGAGACGGGUUGGUUGGUAAUAGGUGCAGAAGAAAGGAGAAGAAAGAUCUUCGGCUUAGAGCAACAUUAAUGUUGCAGUUUAAAUUUAGAGGCUUGAGGAAGAAAAACUGGAAGAGAAUCAUUAUUCAUUGCUGUAAGAGUUUUUAAGAACUGAAAAUUAGUCGAUGAAUAAACUGCAAGCAAAUUCAAAGCUUAGCUUAUGAUAUGCUUUCAUUAACAAAAAAUCACAAACUUUCGUAAGACAUCUAUCCUGGAAAAUCAAAGAGGUUCUCAUUAAUCAUAAGUAGGGUACUGACCAUAGAAGGACACUGUUCGCCAAAUUUGUAAGUUUUGUGGCUGCACAAUUACUAUUUAGCAGAGUCAUCAUUUUCCUAUGUGUGUGUGAUUUAAGGGUAUCCUAUCACUUCACAGUCCAUAUUACAAAAAUCAUAUCCCAACACAAUACUAAAUCCCAUGGGAACUGGUAACACAAGAAUAGGAGAAGUACCUGAAACAUCCUCGGUUUCUAUAAUAAGGAGGUCAGGGGCAGCUAAUUCUCUAGCUGUACAACAAACAGCACCGAGUAGUACAAGAAACAGGCAGACCUUGACAUCCAUGCUGCCAAGUGAAACAAUCAGUCUAGAUUCAAGAAAAACAAUAAUAAAGUACAAAAAAGAGAGUCAACAAAAGAUAUGCUAAUAUUAAUCAAUCAAUCGAUCAACAAUGCCUCAAUCCCAAAUUAGUGACCGAUCAAACAAUCUAACUUUCAUUUGAAUAUUUGACUGUCAUAUCAAUCAACUACCCCUCAAUCCCAAAUUAGUGACGGAUCAAACGAUCUAACUUUCACUUGAAUAUUUGACUGGCAUAUCAAUCAAUUAUGCCUCAACCCAAAUUAGUGACCGAUCAAACAAUCUACCUUUCGCUUUGAAUAUUUGACAGUCGUAUCAAUUAAUUACACUUCAAUCCCAAACAAUCUAACGUUCACUUGAAUAUUUGACAGUCAUAUCAAUCAAUUACACUCAAUAGCCUCAAUCCCAAACUAGUAUCUGAUCAAAAUUCCAACCUAGCUUAAAUAUUUGACGGUCAUGUCCAAAAUAAAACUACAGUCCCAAUAAGCUUAAACUACUACAAUUCUCAACUCCAAUAAGGUUUCAAUUCCUCCUUACCUCAAAAAGUUUUUAUCUUUUUUUUAAUUUACCAACUAGAUUUCAAUCAAACAAAAACCCAAUAUAUUACAACUUUAAUCAAAACCCAGAUCAAUUAAAAAAAGGGCGUCAGUCCACUACAAUUCUCAACUCCAAUAAGCUUUAGAUUCCUCCUCACCUCAAAAAGUUUUCAUCUUUUUGAAUUUACCAACUGACUGAACCAACCCCACACCCCAUCCCAGUAAAAAAAAGUCAACCUACUUAAUUCAAUCAAACAAAAAACACAAUAUAUUACAAUUUUAAUCAAAACCUAGAUCGAUUAAAGCAAAAGGGGUGUCAAAGAUAAGAACAAAACUCGAAAAAGGAAAAAAAAAAACAUCAAAGAUAAUGUCUAUACAGAUACAGAAAGAGAAAUCAGAAGAAAAAAUAAGAAUUAAAUCGAAAAAAUUAUAUACCUAAUGAUGAUGAAUGAUAGAAGAAUGUUUACCUGGAAAAAAAGGGGAAGAAUUUUGAGAGUAAAUGACAAAUAGAGGAAGUAGUACAAAGGCUCUUUCUUCAAGCAAAGAGCAGAUCUGCCCCUUUCUUGUAGGCAAUUAUUUUUUGGCUUAAUUGAGAAUUUCUAUUAGGAGUUGAUCUCCUGCACCUGCUAUAAUUUGUAUCCUUAUCCAACCGGAUUUUUAUAAUUUUUUAUAGAUAUGUUUUUAAAUAGAGGUAAUGAGUGAAAGAAAAAAAUAAUUGGAGGUCAAAAGUCUUUUUUUUUUUAAAAGUGUUUGGUCAAAUUUUUGGAGAAAAUAACUAUUUUUAAAGAGAAGUAGAAUUUGUUUUUGAGAAACUAAAAAAAUGUAGUAGUAGUAGUUUUUCCAAAAAUAUUUAUUGAAAAGCAUUUUUGAGAAAAAUACACUUCGAAAUAUUUUUUAAAAGCUUGGCUAAAUAUUUAAUUAUUGCUCAAAAGUGUUUGGAAAUUUUUAUUAUGAUUAUAUUAUUAAAUAGAAACUAUUUCUCACUAAAAGUAUUUUUUUUAAGAAAAAAUAAUUUAUCAAAAUAAGUUGAUUUUAGAAGUUUGGUCAAACAGACAUUUGGUAUGUUGGAUAAGUAUAUAAUUUUGGAUAAAAAUCUAAUAUUGUAUUAUCUCUUAUAUUCGGUUGCUAAUUUUGAAAUAAACUAUAUCACAAUUAGUAAUUACUAAUUAAUAUUACGAUAAGUUAUCUCUAUGAUGAAUUGAAUAUUAGUAUCAAAACUAAUAUCAUAUAUCAUAUAUAUAUGGUGAUUCUGGGCCUUUUUUUGGCCAUAUAAUUAUGGACAAAUUACAGAAAUCAAAUACUUUUAAGGUAAAAUUACAAUUUAUCUCUUAAAAGUUUAUAAUUACAGAAAUCCCUCAAACGGAUAUAAUAAUAUAAGCGUUGAUACAUUAAUCUGAUGCGCGAGAUACAAUAAUAUAAGCGUUGAUAUAUGUGCGAGAUACAAUAAUAUAAGCGCUGAUACAUUAAUCUGAUGCGCGAGAUACAAUAAUAUAAGCGCUGAUACACUAAUCUGAUGCGCCAAAAUGAGGGAUUUUGGAGAUUUGUAAAAUUUAUAGGGGAUAAUGGUAAUAAGUAACUAAAAGGUGGGAUUUCUGUAAUUUUUCUUAUAUAUUAUAGAUAUAUACUACCUUAAAAGCAUGAACUCCUAAACUUAAUGUUGAAUUACUAUAAUACCCCCAAUUAAAAAUACUCAAUUUGUUUUAUUUAUUAAUUUAAUUAUUUGUAUUAUAUUAAAAUUAGAUACCCUUUCAUAUUAAAGAAUUGUGAUUUUCUCAAAGAGAUGUUACUUUUCCAAAGGGUUGCAAUUUUUUUGACGGGUUUUGAUAUUUUUGAUGAGUUGUGACUUUUCCGAAGGGUUGUACUUUUUCCGAUGAGUUGUGACUUUUGAAAAAGGUAGUGAUUUUUCAGAUGAGCAGUGACUUUUUCGAAAGGUUGUAACUUUUCUGAUAAGGAACAAUUAGCACCUAUUAAACCUACUAUUUGUUAGCUAUAAAUAGAGGGUUUCCUCUCACUUUUAAACUAUGAUUUUUUUAAAGUUUUCUACUCUUCUUCUUCUUAAAAAAUCUCAGGGUUAUUUGCAACAAUUGAUUAAGUUCAAAAUUCAACGAAAUUCAAGGUACCACAUAAGAAAGAGUUGGUGAACAAAUUUGUAGCAAAUCAUUCAUAAAUUCACACUCGUAUUUUUUCUUACGAUUUCCAUGAGUUAACAGUGACAAAAAUUUGUGGGAAAGACAAUAAUAAUAAACAAAUAUGAAUAAAGUCACAUGAUUUUAGUAAGAUAUUUCUUCUUUGGUUUUUUAUUUUUAUUUUUUUACCCUCAAAUGAAGCAGUUUCUUUCUGAUUGCUAAAACAACAAGCAUCAACGUAGUCCAUUGAAUCAUUAGUUUUGAUGUUAAAUCCACUAUUUCAAAAAUAGAUUUUCACUUUUACUUAUAAUAUGAUAAUAUAGAAAUUAUAAUAAUUAUUUUUUAAUAGAAAUGUAAGUAAAAAUGAACAAAGAAAGUAAAGUGUUGGUGACAAGAGAUUUUAAUCAAAUGGAACUCUAUAGUGAAUAUAGCAUUAACAUAUAUUUUCGUCUUCCUUCUUCAUUGGCUAUGUAUCAUUUCAUAUUUUUUUUCCUAUUAUUCUGUGUUCAUUUUAAUUUGAGAAAAUUUUAUGUCACAAUAUGCACUCAUUGAUAGCUAUAUAAAAAUAGAUAAGAAAAUAGUGAUUGACCAUAAAAUAAUUUUAAAUCAAAUUAAAGAUUCNNNNNNNNNNNNNNNNNNNNNNNNNNNNNNNNNNNNNNNNNNNNNNNNNNNNNNNNNNNNNNNNNNNNNNNNNNNNNNNNNNNNNNNNNNNNNNNNNNNNNNNNNNNNNNNNNNNNNNNNNNNNNNNNNNNNNNNNNNNNNNNNGAUACAACUUCUAUAAGAUACUAGAUACUUUCAUUAGACAACAACUAUAUGAUAUGUAUGCGUCAGGAAAAAGGAGAAGACUACAAUUCUACAAAGAUAAGGUAGAAACUUAAAGAAAUGAAAUAUUUUUCACCAAAAAUGAUGUUGUUCAUAUAUUAAAAUUAAAUUAUGCUACUGAAAUAUAUAUGUAUAUCUAAAACAAAGAAUUGGUCAAGCUAAAUAUUUGGCAUACACUCAAACCUCUAUUUAACCAUCAUUCGUUAUAACAAUAAAAUACCUUCUUUUUUUUUGUAGAAUUACCUCUCUAUGAUAGUCUUACUCAAAUAUUCAUUGAUUGAUAAAAGAUAGAUUACGUAUAAAGAUAAAAUAUUGAAAUAUUUAUGGUAAUCCUUAUUAGUGCCCUGUGCAUACUAAAUUUGAAGUAUGAACAUUUAAGAAGAAUAUUAUACUUAAAUGGUGUCCAUCAUUUAUGUUCAUAACCUCAAGAGGAAAGACUGUUGGUGACAUUUUUUGUAUUGAUAUUUUUUAAAUAAUUUUGUUGGUUAGAUUUGUUUACAAAAUUGAGUGAAGUAAAUAAUAAUACUACUAAAGAAAUGUCACUUUUCUCCCCAUAUUUAAACUUUGAAUGUAUUUUGAAAUGUUUCAAUAAUAUAUGGUCAUUUUGAUCUCAAAAUACAAGUAACUCUAUAAUAUUAUGUAUUAAUCAUUUAAAAGCACUUGUCCUAUGUUCUUUAAAUUAUAAUUAUUUACUAAAAAACUUUAAUUUAGUAAUAUUACUUCUAUUUUACAACAUCGUAUACUAUAUAUAUGAUACACACGUACCCUGAAACUAGUAUUACUAUAAGUGGAAACAAAAAAAGUUGAAAGUUGAAAUACCAAAAUAUCCCUAUAAAAUUGAGUUACUACAAAAUGCCAUUAAAAAAAAAAUUACUCUAAAUUAAAAUGUUAUAAAAUAUUUAUUUAAUUAUAUUUAGAUAGUAAUUAUAUAAUAUUAUAGUAUACAUACAACACUAGAAAACACAAAUGUUGUAGUAAAUAGUAUUCAUACAAUUAAUAAUCAGUUAAUAGUAAGAGACUAUAUACAUUUAACCGUAUGUCAUUAGUAUAUGAAUAACUUGAAUGUUUAGGCUUCUCCUUAUAGUUCGUGAAACGUGUAUUUUGAAUUCCCAUAGACUUAAUAAUGUGUAUUUACUUUUUCUUGAAUUUUGUAUCACUUCUUUAGUACUUAAUUAUGUUUAUUUAAUGUCAAUCUUGAAUUGUUUCAUCUUCCGAUGACUAUUGCAAUAUUAACUUUUGAAAUGUUAAUGAACAUGUAAUUAAUCAAGGAUUUAUUUUUCUAAUAAAAUAUACCCAAUAUUUUCAUUCAUUUUCUUCAUACACAAAGAAUUUAGAAGUUAUAAUCAUGAUUUAGCAUAAUUGAGCUUUUGAUGAUUUAGUAGUAAACCAGCAUGGGGAUGUAAUCUUGGUUGCCUAAUAUAUGCUGCUUCUUGGAAAGGAUUUGGCAUAUGAAAUGAAGUUUUUUGUUAUUGUCUUGUUGCAUCUUUUAACCAAAUUAAAAUUACAUACUUUUGAAUAAACCUAAAGAUUAUGUAUCACAUUCUAAAGAUAAUGGAGUUACUGGACAUGUAUACAUGGGAAUACCAUGAUUGCCUUGAAUAUGGUACAUCAUUAUUUAUAUACUUGUGCUUUUUUUUUGGUAAAAAGCAAGUUAGUCUUAUUUAGGUGUUUUAAUCAUUUUUUUAAUAUUAUAAGUAUCAACGCUAAUUCUAUGUCAGCAUCUCCGAUAAUGUUAGAUGUUAUAUAUAUUAUCUUAAUUAGUUUUACAUAGUUCAACAUUUCCUAUUUCGUGAACUACUCCCUCGUUCUUUUGUAGCUGUUACUAUUUUUUUUUUAAUAGUCAAACGAUAUAAACUUUAACUAACAUUUUCAAAUGUAUUUUUCCAUCAUAUUGAUAUGAAAAAAUUUGCAAUUUAUAGUACUUUUCGUAUAGUUUUUAAAUAUCUAAAUUCUUAUUUCAAAAUAUCAAAUUAGUGUAAUCUAAAUUAACUUUAAAAAUCAGUCAAGUUGACUCUAAAAAACGCAAUAUGACAACUAAAAAGGAAUAGUGAGAGUAGUAACUAAAAUUGUGUUAAAAUUAGAUGAUAUUGCUGUGUUUGACUAAACACAUAUUUAGUAGAAUAAUACAUAAAAUUAGGCAUGUACAAAUUUUAUAAAAGUAACAGUCUUUGAAAAUGUGGGUUUGAAAUAUAAAAUUAGGCACGUACAAAUUUUAUGAAAAUAAUAGGGGAUAAACGUGCAAUGCACGUUCCCAAACACUAGUUAUUCUAAAAUACAAUAAUCUACAUAUACAUUCUUUUUAGAACAGGCUAAAAUGAAAGUAUGUUAGAUAAGAUGCAACCUAGAAAAUAACUCAUUACAUAAUGAAAUGCGAAAAAAGUACAAUAUAGUAGUUUGCAAUUAUCUGUCUGAAAGCUUCCAAACAAUACAAAUUACACACUUCUACUCUAAGUUGUGUUGUGUUCACUCUUCACUUUUUGAUGCUGCAUUCGUGUCGACCUUUCCAAAAAUACACUAUUUUUGGAGAAUCUGACACAUAUGACGCAACCGUUGAUAUUUUUAAAAAGUCUGAGCAACAUAGCUUAUACUACAUAGGCAGAUCUUGCAAUCAAACACUCCCUCAAGUAAAGCCAAAUUGCGCGGCUCAAACAAAAUAUACAUCAUAUACUGACAACACUCGUGAUUACAAUCUUAAUCUUCACCUGAUCGAUCCACAUUAAUCUCUUCCAGAAUCACAACCAGAGCAACAACAAACGCGUAAUCCACGUUCGGGCACACAGUGACACCAAAAUUGUCUUUCCCAAACAGUAUGCUUUGAGCAAUGAGCUUCCUGUGCAUUUGUGCAAUGAAGUUUGUAUCUUUGGUAAUGCUUCAUCUUUACCAACAACAGGCUGACACUCAAACAGAAUAGUGCAUACAUCAUUUUUCUCCAGAAAAUAUUCCGCGUUAAUGAGGAUCACUGGUGCAUAUUUGAAGACCAUUUUCUUGCACUGUAGAAAAUCACGAGGCAUGAACAAAAAGCCGUGGAGACAGAGGAAGGAAAGGAACAUCAGUACAGCUACCAAACAGCCUUGUAUAGUUCCACAUAUUAAUCAUCAAGAACUCAAUAGUUCUCUAGAACACAGAAAUUACACAAGUAAUAUAGUAUUACCCUGGCAGUUACUCAUCAGUAUAAUCAUUUUUAGAGAGCAAUUAACGCUCGUGAUCAAGUAUUACAACAUUUCAUUUCUUCUGAUAGUUCAGCGUUGUGACUUGUGACACAUUGGAUUGCAGAAGAUUUUUAAGGACGCAAAAAGGUCCAAAAGAGUUGGCUAGAUUAGGGAAGUAUGAGCAGGCAUUAAGGUACAGCUAUGAAGUAAGAUUAGUUUCAGAGGGUAUUUACCUUAUUGGUAUAUUUUUCAACAGAUCCACAUGCCUUCAAGAGCAACUGAAGUAUGUCUGACUGAAAGUAUACAAGAAGCAAAUGAGUUUACUGAAGAUAUUCACAAGUGAAUAUAUUCUGUUGCAUAAGAACUACAUAUUGUCGCUUACCAGAUUAAAAAAGGUAAAAAUAAAAAACCACUUACUGUCUCCAUAUACAUCUACGGGUUGAUAACAUUUUCACAUAAGGAGCGUAAAUGAAAUAAAAUAUCCGACCAGCCAGAUUCUAACCAGUAAAAUUUAUGACAUUUUUAGCUAUAGCAAGUUAUUUAGUCGUUUUAGAUACUAAACAGUGCUCAAUAAUCUAUCUCCAGGGUAUCACAUCCAAGGGCGUAAUCUAGUGAUUAAAGAGGUGGAACAAAAACCAUGAGAAUCAGGAUUCAAAUCGUAGUAGAGACGAAAUCCACUAGGAGAUCUCAUUCGAUCUUCCUAAGUUUUUGUGGGCUGAUCAUCAGUUACUCGGUACCUGUGCUACUAAGAGGUAGCAGGUACCCGAAGGAAUAGUUGAGGUGCGUGCAAGUUAACCGAGAGUUCAAGACACCAUUACAACAUAGAUAGACACACAAGCACUCACACACAUAUUAUACAAACACUUAUAAGAUGUAUAUAAUGAAAGACAAGAGUACCUGAGUGUCAGGAUCUUUCAUUUUUGAUAGUGUCUCUCUAACCACUUGAUGGCAUAAGUCGCAGCCAUUUUGGGAGAACUGUUGAGAGAUGGAAACCACUUUCUGGCAAAGGUCAACCUUUUGGCAAAUGUCGUCGGGUUUUAUGGUGGAGAUCUUUAAGAAGGAGAGAGGAACAUAUUGAUCCACCAUGGCAGUGCACUACAAGAAAAUAAGAGAAGUUCACUUGCAAAUUAAUGUAGCAAGAGACAGAAAAAAUCAUAUCAAUGUUGUUGCAUGUAGAUCCUAAAGAUAUCAAAAUAUUGCAAAAGUCUUGCUUGAAGCACACUUAAACCUUAAAGCCAGCGCCAUACAGGCUGAGCACUUCACUUAUAAGGCGCUUUCGUGCAGGUGCUAAAUUGGCAAGGCAUCACCUAAUUGCUAAUGGACUCCAACACUAAACAAAUAUAGACAGCAAAGUGAUGCAUAGCAAAUGUGUGUGUGUGUGUAAUUAGGAAUAUUUUUAUGCUUUCACGUUUGAUAUUGCAAACUAUUAUUAAUCUUUUCAUUAACAGUCGCCCAAAUCCCCGCAGAAAACAAUCUAGCUCGGGUUCUAUGGAUAAUAUUAAAAGACACACUCCACUAAUUUAUCAAUUCUCUUCAUCCUAAUAGGGAGGGCUAAAUCUAGGCCAUUCUGGAUUUCAAAGGAAGCCAAAUUGUAUCCAAAGAAGAUGGAACACUUGAGGAACGGUCAAUUUAAAAUCUGCAUGAUGAACUAUAUUCGUAAUAAAAAUGGAAAGGAACAUGGGAAGCGGGUCUCAAGUUCAAAUCCCAGAAGAGAUAAAAAAACACUAGGUGAUUCCUUCCCAUUUGUCCUGGCCUAGGUUGAUACUGGAUAGAGUUACCUUGUAUCUAUUACUAGUGGGAGGAGGUAGGUAUCCCGUGGAAUUAGUCGAGGUGCGCACGAGUUGGCCCAGACACCACGGUUAUCAAAAAUAAAACAUGGGAAGCAGGUUCAGUGUGUGCUGUCUGGGAAUUGCAUUUAAUCCGUAAUCAGAGUGGCAUCUAGUUUCUUUCUUUAUUGUGAAUAAGAUAAUUGAUAACAUAAAAAUUUGAGUUAAUACAUUUAAGGAUGUCUCAAAUAGAAUAACCAUAUUGGACGAAAUGGAUAAGCACAUUUAAAGAAGACUUCUGCUAUCUUCAUGAGUAUAUGCAUGAAGCGGUACAUUCAGAAAAUCAUUUAGAUGGGCAGUAAAUUAAUCAUUUAGACAAAAAGAAUUUUAAGUCAGAUCACAAGUACCUCGUGCUUGUAUACUGGCAUCUUCGAACAGGUCUUGAGAAGGAGGUCAAGCAUCUUUGUCUGGGUCUUGUUAUUAGCAAGGUAACCAAGUGCAGUCGCGGUAAAUUUUUCACACAUUGUGAAUAAUGCUUUACUAUGGCUGACAUCUUUGAGAAGCUGAAGUUGUCUCUGUGCCUGUAAGUUACUUAUCCACAAUGCUAUUGCAAGAAAGCCAAGAUUAAUGUUUGCCAUAUUAAACUCCGUAAUCAAUCAAGUAAAAAUAAACGACUUCAGAUAAAUAUAACAAGAUCAUAGCAUCUGCUACAGAAGAAUAGGAGAAGUACCUGAAACAUCCUCGGUUUUCAUUAUAAGGAGGUCAGGGGAUGCUAAUUCACUAGCUGUACAACACACAACACCGAGUAGUACAAGAAACAGGCAGACCUUGAAAUCCAUGCUGCCAAGUGAAACAGUCAGUCUAGAUUCAAGAAAAAGCAUAAUAAAGUACAAAAAAAAAAGAAAAGAAUUAACGAAAGAUAUGCUAAUAUUAAUCAAUCAAUCGAUCAACAAUGCCUCAAUAACAGAUUAUUGACGGAUCAAACAAUCUAACUUUCACUUGAAUAUUUGACAAUCAUUUCAAUCAAUUACGCCUCAAUCCCAAAUUACUGACCGAUCAAACAAUCUAACUCUAACUAUCACUUGAAUAUUUGACAGUCAUACCAAUCAAUUACCCUCAGUCCCAAAUUAGUGACGAAUCAAACAAUCUAACUUUCACUUGAAUAUUUGACAAUCAUUUCAAUCAAUUACGCCUCAAUCCCAAAUUACUGACCGAUCAAACAAUCUAACUCUAACUAUCACUUGAAUAUUUGACAGUCAUACCAAUCAAUUACCCCUCAGUCCCAAAUUAGUGACGAAUCAAACAAUCUAACUUUCACUUGAAUAUUUGACUGUCAAAUAUUCAAGUGAAAGUUAGAUUGUUUGAUCCGUCAAUAAUUUGAGAUUGAGGCAUUAAUCAAUUAGGCCCCAAUAGCCUCGAUCCCAAACUAGUAAGGGUUCAAAAUUCCAUCUUAGCUUAAGUAUUUGACAGUUAUGUCCAAAAUAAAUUAUAUGAACUACAAUCCCACAUACUUAUAUUGAAAAGUUCUCAUCUUUUUGAAUUUAACAACUGAUUAAACCAACCCCACCCCCACCCAGCCCUAGUAAAAAAAACUCUAUGUGGAACGAUGAUGAAGAAUUGUUUACCUGGAAAAAGGGGAAUAAUUUUCAGAGUAAGCGACAAAUACAGAGAGUAGUGUACCAGGGUUCUUUCUUCCUUCCUUCAAGCAACAGCAAACCCCCACAUUUCUUCUAGGCAAUCACACACUCUUCAACCCACUUUUCUUCUAGUCAAUUACAUCAUCUUCAACCCAACUUUUUCUUUUUUCUUUUUCUUUUUCUUUUUCCUUUUGCUUUUCCAUUGGGUGUCCCGAGCUCCCAUUGGAGCUCCCAAAAGGCUCAUUUGUAUUCGAUGGGCUUUCAAUAAAAUUUUCGAAUCCGACUGGUUCGAAUUAAAACAUUAUAAUUGGCUGAAAAGGGAAUCUCACUGUAGCUACAAUAUAAAUACUUUGUUCUUCUUGUCCAAACUGCUCCUAAUGCAUCAUGAAAUUAAAGGCAUCUUGUGGUUAACUAGCUGACAUAGAUGAGUCAUAUUUUUAAUGUUGAUGGUGUUAGAAUAUGCACAACGGAAGCUAUAUUCAGGAUCACAAAUCUUACAUAUAGACUAAACAAUAUAACAUAAACGAGUUUAGAAGAAUACUAACCUGUUGAAUCUUCCACAAAAGUCGUCCAGAUGCCAAGGAUCCAGAGCUACGAUCUUCUCCUAUUUCCUGAUUGACUAUUACUACCAAGAUACUUGUGUGGGCAAGUAUUAUUUGUUUUUCAAAGAUAAUUCCUUUCAUGCCACAUCCAGCCUAUUUAUCUAGUUUUCCAACUCAAGAAUGAAUAGGAAAAACGUCCAAAUAAAUUUCAGGCUUAAUGAGCAAUCAAAAGGAUCAUGAGAAUCAAUUGAGAUAAAAAACGUUUUCAUCCAUUAAAGGCCAAACGGUUUUGUAAUAAGAACAAAAACGUUUUCAUCCAUUUAAAGGCCAAACGUUUUUGUAAUAAGAACAAAAACGUUUUCAUCCAUUUAAAGGCCAAACGUUUUUGUAAUAAGAACAAAAACGUUUUCAUCCAUUUAAAGGCCAAACGUUUUUGUAAUAAGAACAAAAACGUUUUCAUCCAUUUAAAGGCCAAACGUUUUUGUAAUAAGAACAAAAACGUUUUCAUCCAUUUAAAGGCCAAACGUUUUUGUAAUAAGAACAAAAACGUUUUCAUCCAUUUAAAGGCCAAACGUUUUUGUAAUAAGAACAAAAACGUUUUCAUCCAUUUAAAGGCCAAACGUUUUUGUAAUAAGAACAAAAACGUUUUCAUCCAUUUAAAGGCCAAACGUUUUUGUAAUAAGAACAAAAACGUUUUCAUCCAUUUAAAGGCCAAACGUUUUUGUAAUAAGAACAAAAACGUUUUCAUCCAUUUAAAGGCCAAACGUUUUUGUAAUAAGAACAAAAACGUUUUCAUCCAUUUAAAGGCCAAACGUUUUUGUAAUAAGAACAAAAACGUUUUCAUCCAUUUAAAGGCCAAACGUUUUUGUAAUAAGAACAAAAACGUUUUCAUCCAUUUAAGACCAAACGUUUUUGUCACUAACUCAAUCUUUAACUCUCAAAUAAUUCAUCCUUUAAAGAAGAUCAACAAUAAAAUUAAUUUGUCCUUCUUUUCAAACUUGGUCAAUUAAUCAGGCAUAGUAGGGACCGUAGAUAUAUUUAAUAGAGGCUUCCAAUUACGAUAAUAAUUCUCAAAUGAACGAAUUAACCAUAUCGCAAUAAAUUACAAAGUAUUCCACUAAAAUUCUGUAAUUGCACUCCUCAAUUUAAUUUCGAAAUCUACCACUACAUCUUAUUUAACCCCCCGUGUUAGAAUUACCGACACCAAUCAAUUAAAUCAAAAUUAUCUGAAAAUUUAAUUCAUUGACUAAAUUAAUCCUUUAUUAUAUUUACUUAACUUAUUUCACGUGACGGAUCUAAAAUCCACCUGCAGGGUUUUCACGUGAAAACUUAUAAGUAAUCAUAAAGGGGUGUCUUCAACUCGGGUCCGAGACACGGUUCUAUCAACUAAUUAUUAUUUCACUAAUGUAAUUUGUCAUUAUCUAAUCUAUUAGGAAUUUAUUGACUCAUCAAAAAGUCUCACCUUUUAAUAGAUUAAAACAAUAAAAUAAAUUACAUAGAUCAUAAUAAUUAUAUCAAGAUUGAGAGUAUAAAUACAUGUAGUGGACUAGAGAAUUUAUUUAUAAAUAUUCAGAACAUAAACAAAUGUCUCUAAUUGGUCCGUUCAAUACAUACAAAAUGUACUAGCACAAGAAGUUGAAUUUAACCAUUCUCAUAAUUAAGAUCAAAUUAUAUUUAAUCUUGUGCUACGAUCAUCAAGAUGUUCGUCCUACUUCAUCUUUGAUCGUGAACAUAAAUUUAUAACUUAUAUGCACCAACAAUUUUAAUCUUCCGUGUAUGAGUUAAAAUACUCCAUACACAAAAUUGUCUACUAUAUAAGCAAUGGACACACAUAUAUACAUAAUGAUCUAUUUAAACAAAAAAUUAUUAUAUUAAAUAAAUAACAUAAAAAAAAUCUUUACAAGGGAUUAAAUAAAAAAUACUAUAACACAAUUACAUGGUUAAUAGUAUAUCCCAACAGAUGGCAUAUUUGAGUCUUUUUUAAGAAAAAAAUAAUUUAAUUAAUGACGCAGCUGAAUCAUAUUUGACCACGUCUACAAAGUGAUUUUGUAAAAUUGAAAAUAUUUUUAGUUUAUAAAUAAUGAGCAUUUUCUCAAACCAAACUAUCCAAACUCCUCAAUAGCCAACAGAUGUUCUUAGGCAUCCACAUGUGUUUUCUUUAUCUUUAAUUUGAAUGGAAUCUCAGGUAUAGUUUGGCACUAAUAAAAUGACUCAUAGAUGUAAUGCUGCCGCUCCUCACGCCCUGUUUUUGCUUUUGCAAGUUCUCAUGCCCUGUUUUUGAAGCUGUGCCAAUCGCCACUGCAAAUUCCUACCAACUAUCCAUAUUCCUCCUUAAUCACUUCAAAUCAUGGGUUCGUCUCUGCUUGUUUAUACCUAACAACUUUCCUUUUACGCCUGAUAAUCCAGGUAUUUUGCAUGCCACCACAAGCCACGAUUUACACUUAUCGUGCAUUGAUGCUUCUGGAAAAGGUGCCAAGUUUGGCCCCCUUAAAGAUGGCUAUAUGUUUGAAUCAUCAAUUGAUUUGUCACGGGUGCUGCUGAGAUCACCAACAUGUCCAGUUCUUCAAUGUCUUCGAAAGAAGGUAGCUUUUCAGAUAACUGUUGGUUUAAAUGGCCGUGUUUGGGUUAAUGGUGAGCAGAAAUCGUCCAUCAUCGUUGUUGCAAAUGCAAUAAUGAACUCUUGAGUUCAACCAUAUAGCUUCUAGCAGUUAAAUGAAGUCAUGGAUGAUGCGAUUGUAACCAGAAAGCGGAAUAUAUAUGUGAUACAAAAGUAAAAUUUAGAGUCUGGUGUUUAUGGUUGUUUAUCUUCCUGUGUGUUGAAGGGCUUAUGAGUCUAAAUUUGAAAAUUUUAUUAUAGCGUUGCGUGUGAUUUGAUACCAUCAUAUUUUAAUUGAAAUUUGAUAAAUAGAGGAGUAUAUAUUUUUAUUGUUUUCCUAAAAUGUGUUAAAAUACACGGAUAUUACAUAAUGAAAGACGAAAAAAGUAGACUAUGUCUAUAAUAGUUGAUGAUCAUAAUUUGUCUGCCUGAAAAGCUUGCAAACACAACAACGUUACACACUUAUACAACAUUAGCCAAAUCUGGCAAUCAACUACACUCCAAAUUAAAGCCAAAA
rnacentral:lncRNA from 1 species